rnacentral:rRNA from 1 species
AGCGAACGCUGGCGGCAGGCUUAACACAUGCAAGUCGAACGCCCCGCAAGGGGAGUGGCAGACGGGUGAGUAACACGUGGGAACGUACCCUUUGGUUCGGAAUAACUUGGGGAAACUCAAGCUAAUACCGGAUAAGCCCUUAUGGGGAAAGGUUUACUGCCGAAGGAUCGGCCCGCGCCUGAUUAGCUAGUUGGUGAGGUAAUGGCUCACCAAGGCGACGAGCAGUAGCUGGUCUGAGAGGAUGAUCAGCCACACUGGGACUGAGACACGGCCCAGACUCCUACGGGAGGCAGCAGUGGGGAAUAUUGGAAAAUAGGGGCAACCCUGAUCCAGCCAUGCCGCGUGAGUGAUGAAGGCCUUAGGGUUGUAAAGCUCUUUUACCCGGGACGAUAAUGACUGUACCGGGAGAAUAAGCCCCGGCUAACUUCGUGCCAGCCGCCGCGGUAA